rnacentral:rRNA from 1 species
GAUGAACGCUGGCGGCGUGCCUAAUACAUGCAAGUCGAGCGAACGGACGAGAAGCUUGCUUCUCUGAUGUUACCGGCGGACGGGUGAGUAACACGUGGAUAACCUACCUAUAAGACUGGGAUAACUUCGGGAAACCGGAGCUAAUACCGGAUAAUAUUUUGAACCGCAUGGUUCAAAAGUAAAAGACGGUCUUGCUGUCACUUAUAGAUGGAUCCGCGCUGCAUUAGCUAGUUGGUAAGGUAACGGCUUACCAAGGCAACGAUGCAUAGCCGACCUGAGAGGGUGAUCGGCCACACUGGAACUGAGACACGGUCCAGACUCCUACGGGAGGCAGCAGUAGGGAAUCUUCCGCAAUGGGCGAAAGCCUGACGGAGCAACGCCGCGUGAGUGAUGAAGGUCUUCGGAUCGUAAAACUCUGUUAUUAGGGAAGAACAUAUGUGUAAGUAACUGUGCACAUCUUGACGGUACCUAAUCAGAAAGCCACGGCUAACUACGUG